rnacentral:rRNA from 1 species
UUUAGUCCCGCAACGAGCGCAACCCUGAUCUUAGUUGCCAUCAUUUAGUUGGGCACUCUUAGGUGACUGCCGGUGACAAACCGGAGGAAGGUGGGGAUGACGUCAAAUCAUCAUGCCCCUUAUGACCUGGGCUACACCCCCCCUCCCCCCGCCGGUACAAAGAGCUGCAAGACCGCGAGGUGGAGCUAAUCUCAUAAAACCGUUCUCAGUUCGGAUUGUAGGCUGCAACUCGCCUACAUGAAGCGGAAUCGCUAGUAAUCGCGGAUCACCAUGCCGCGGAGAAUACGU